rnacentral:misc_RNA from 1 species
AAAAAAAGCAAUAUAUCUGGGUGUGCCAUUCGUCGCUGAAUGGUUUAGAAACAAAGGCCACUUCAUUAAAUCGCAAGUAACUGCAGCAACAGGUGCCAUUGCACUGAUCCAGCUACAGGAGGACAUGAAGAAGCAGCUCAGUGCAGAGGGAAACUAUACUGAGGAAGAGCUUGAAGAAUACAUGCAAUCACACAAGAAGCUGAUGAUUGAUUCCUUGUGGAAACUCAAUGUUGCUGAUAUUGAGGCCACACUUUCCCGUGUUUGUCAGAUGGUUCUUCAAGACAACAAUGUCAAGAAAGAAGAGUUACGUGCGCGAGCUAAGGGGUUGAAAACUCUUGGUAAAAUCUUCCAG